AAAAGUAUUGGGAAUGAAGUUCUCCCAUAGUAUUCUUUUAUGCUAAAACCGCUGAAUUUAGGCUGAUGACUUCUGUGAUUAU
rfam:Clostridium cadaveris strain NLAE-zl-G419 genome assembly, contig: Ga0070261_112